rnacentral:rRNA from 1 species
AGUGAACGCUGGCGGUAGGCCUAACACAUGCAAGUCGAACGGCAGCACAGGAGAGCGUGCUCUCUGGGUGGCGAGUGGCGGACGGGGGAGGAAUACAUCGGAAUCUGCUCUGUCGUGGGGGAUAACGUAGGGAAACUUACGCUAAUACCGCAUACGACCUACGGGUGAAAGCAGGGGACCUUCGGGACUUGCGCGAGUGAAUGAGCCGGAGUAGGAUUAGCUAGUUGGCGGGGUAAAGGCCCACCAAGGCGACGAUCCGUAGCUGGUCUGAGAGGAUGAUCAGCCACACUGGAACUGAGACACGGUCCAGACUCCUACGGGAGGCAGCAGUGGGGAAUAUUGGACAAUGGGCGCAAGCCUGAUCCAGCCAUACCGCGUGGGUGAAGAAGGCCUUCGGGUUGUAAAGCCCUUUUGUUGGGAAAGAAAUCCAGCUGGCUAAUACCCGGUUGGGAUGACGGUACCCAAAGAAUAAGCACCGGCUAACUUCGUGCCAGCCGCCGCGGUAA